UCUGAAGAGUUUUCAAACCAUUGAGGCAGGCAUAACUUCAGAGAAUGGAUACUGCAGCAGCAGAUUUUUUUUCUGAAGUGCAGCUGCUGAACCAUGACAUUCAGGAAUGAUUCUUUUUUAGAGAAGUCAAAAUUAUGUGCUCUUUGGGGCUGAAUGUACCAAAGAAUUCAGUAACCUUUUAAACAUUUCAGCGAGUCACUGGGUUUGGGGUGUUCUGUGUAUUCAGUUUUUCCUGUCUGGUCAGCAGUUUAUUGCAGAAGUGUUAUGUAGGUUGCACUGGCAGGUUUAAAAAGAAGAGUAGCUGUAAUGCGUCCUUUCUCCACACUUUCAGGUUUCUAAAACCAUCGGCUCAGUAGACUUGGCAUCUUGACUUCACCUGGGAACACUGCAGGAUCUCACUGUUUGACUUGCCUGUAUGCUUAACCCUGCAGAAACGUGCUUGUCAGAGAUCAGUAAAUCAUCAUCUCACCGUCCUCCAUCCCCAGUAUGGCAGAGUGGAAGGAAGGAGAGCACCAGGAUUUGGAGGAAUGGCUCUCAUAACAGAGAGAGGCUCCUGCUUAGAAAGGAUCAGAACUCAAGAGAAGUCUGGAUGACCUUACAGAUCCAUUAGGGUACUGUCUUAGGGAAGAAAUGGGUCUCAUGCUGUGCUCUGAAAGCUGCAAACAGGAAACUUAUUGUGCUGAUGCCACUAUUGAGUGCCGAAAAUAGCUAUGGACACUUGAAUUGCUGGAAGACUGUAACCUGGAGAAGUACUGUUCAAAACCAGACAAUCCGCAUGGUACAAAGCAGGUCACCUUGAAGCCCCCCCUGCUCAUUUUACACAGCUUGGGAAAAGUGGCAUAAACGUGUGUUGCUGUUAUCAAAUGCAACUUGAAAUGCUCUUUGUCCUGAAAGGAUACUGUGUGAAUCGGGACAAAAUAACAAUUUGAAGUGAAAGAUGGAAAAAAGCCUUGCUGCAUCUCUUUAACCCUUCUGCGGUCUGCGCACAGGAUUUUGUUUAUUUCUUGUGUCACUACUGGAAUAACAGGCAGAGGAAGAUAUGUUCUCCAUCUGCUAUGUUUCAUUGCUGCAAAGCUGGGAAGGCUUGUUCCUACUGGCAAUUUACUGGAAAAUAUCUAACACUAGACCAAAAUGCAUGCAACUAUUUUAUACUCCAGGCAGUCUCAUCUGCAGAGUAGAAUCAUGGAAUCAUUAAGACUGGAAAAGACUAGAAAAGAAAUUCUUCCUAAUAUCCAGCAAAGUUAACGUAAAUCUGAAAAAGUGAAAAUACCUGAUUCAGAUGGAUACAUAAUACUGUUGCUAUCUAACAUUUCCCUUGUUGAUUUUCCUACUGCCUGGUAAAGUUCAUAUGCUUACAAAAAGAGUUCAGUGAUUGACUCAUGAUACUGCUGCCACGGUUUAAUAAAGAACUGAAUUGAACUUUUUCACAAUUACAUUGUAGCAGGAAGCGGCACCAGAGUUGAUUGGUCGAGUGAUGAUCGAAAAUGGUAGUGUUGAAUUUCUCCACUUGGUGGCACUAAGAAAUAACGCAACUGCCCUUGUAACGAGGCUGUGAAACGUGGCCAGGUGGUUGGGGAUAACUGAGCACAGUGACCCUGGGAAAGGAAGACAUCAAGAAGUGAUCUCAGGCUUGUGUCUGCCUUGGGUAAGAGGGGCAGCGGAGGCUGGAUCACCACUGGAAGAAGAUGCUCCAGCAAUGUGAGCAGGAGAAUGGUGUAUGCAGAGCACUGGAACAUCCUCUACAGGUACGGGCUCCUGAGCUUCUGUUCAAGCUCUAUGUUGUGCCUCUCUGGCUGUGAGAAAAGCAAUGGAAUUGUGAAUUGCUGCUAUCAGAAUAUGUGAAGAUAAUGAAGUGGGCUGGACAGGAAGUUUAUUACUGAUAGCAAUUAUUCUUCAUCAACGAUUUAAACAUAUCUGUGGUGGCUGGAAGGCAGCAUAACAAUAUAAAUCAGUGUCUUGCUGAGUUAAUAUUUCCUGUCCAGGACGACUGUGCUCACAAAAAGCACCACAAGCUCUGCUGGCAAUACCACAGUGGGAGGCAGGUUUUUGUAUUUUGGAUGUUCUGUCUAGAAAUUGGAAGAGACAGAGUUGGGAUUGCAGCAUUGGCAGAGUGGAAGGACAAAACAGAUAUCCUAUGGAGUUUACUUUGGAGCAAACAGAGAUGAUUAAAAAUAUCCCAAACCAACAUGGAUGUGAGAAAAAAGUGGUAGCAGAGUGAGAAGACUGACUGUAAGGUAAACCACAGAAAUCAGUUUCUGCCAUCCUGAGCUUGACAGUUGUGGGAAUUUCCACCUUUAUGGAUAUGUGCAUGGUCAUACUUGCACAACAUAGACAUGAUCCAAAAACAGUGAUUAUAAACGCCCCAAGUAGAGACUCAAAUGAGUCUCUACAGAAGCAGCCAUUAUCACUUGGUUAUUACAACACCUGGCAAGCUGGAACUGAGCCUGCAGCAACUUUUAAUUUUUGCAAUAUGUAUGUUUGAUGCUAAAUAAAAACAAUCAGAUCAAUAUUAUUCUGCUAACAAGCAAUAAUUGAGUGAAAAACAUUCUUGCAAGAGCUCUUCAUUCUUUAUGAGAUUUAGUAUAGUUAAUGCUUAUUACUCUAUUCAUUUGUGGGCUUUCCAUAACCCACUGUAAUUAACAAUAUCCGUAAUAUGUAUUUUGUCAGAAAGGCAGCUGGAAUAUAGUCAUGAAUGUCUGACUCCUAUGUUGAUUUCUGGACUCUCAGUGUGUGGUUCCUAAAGAUUAUCAGAAGCUCAUUUUUUGAGUUUUAUGACAAUAUCACUGAGGCUAUAUUGCUGUCAGCAGCAAACACCAGCUAAGAAAAAAUGACCUUUAAGAAAAGACCUUUAAGACAUUGCUUAAUGCAUGCUGCUGACACUUUGAAAAGUAGCCAACAUGUUGCAAAAAUGGCCUUUGAAAACAAAACCUUGAGAAAAAUAUCCAUUAUAAUCUCUCACUCAGCAAAAGCAAAAUUGCUGAAAUGUAUUCCUCUACCAUGCUCAUGAAGUAGCAGGUUUACUUGGUCAUAAACAAUAGCUGAGGCAAUCACUUUGCCUAACACCAUGUUAAUAGCACAAACUGUCUCUAAUAGUCAAAGGCAGUGAAACAGCAGGAGGGCUGACUUAAGACUGCAUAUUCCUUUUUAAAGCACAGAGCCAUUAAAGGCAAUGGUUAUUUGGCAAUAUCCUCAGCGCAAAAAGAGAAAACAAAAUAAUUUGAAAACUUUCUAACAUUUGAUGCUCACUGAGCAUGAAAUUUUAUCUCGCGUAUUUGGCCUGUGACUUUCACUGGUGACAUGCUUCUUGUUUACAUUUGAUUUAAAUCUCAUUUUUUGGGGGAAAUUGUAUGUGUGAAUUCUCUUUGUGUAAACAUUUCAAACAUUUUCAUAUGUCAGAGGGGUUCAUAUCAUUGUGCGAUCAUACAAAAAUUAGAAGUUGACCACCAAAAAAGAUGUUUGCUAUAUGAAUUCUCUUCCUCUUUUUUUGUUAAUAGUGAUGGAAAUGGGCUCCUAAAAUUUUCAAGAAAUUAAAAUUACAAAUUAUACCCAAUCUCCUUUAGUGCAAAUCUAGCAUGAUCAUUAAUCAAUGUGAGAAACUGAGGGUGGUCACUCUUGCACUUGUACAAAUAAGAGAUGUGAGCAGGCACAGACCUUCUUUAUAAUGAGAGCCAGAAAUGAUGGAGUAGUCUGUAGACAGAAUUACUAUAGAGAACACAUUAACAUAAGAUUUUUUUUUUUCCAGAUAAUUAAUAACCAUGUAAAGGUUAAUGCUAAAAUCAACUCUUGGAAAAUGCCAUAGGUAAUUGUUGUGAACUUACCGACAUUAAUUAUACCUCAUAUAAUUCUCUACAGAGCAUCCAAAUAACAGGUGAAAAACUAGGAACUUAACAUCCUAAAUCUCUGCCAAAAGCUCUAUCACAAUGGCACUGGUUCCAAAUGCAACAGAAUCUUCGAUACUUCAGGAGUGAAAUGUGUCAAUAUUUUAAAACAGUCACUAAUACAAGCAAGUAGAGGUCACUAAGUCUAAACUCCAUUCUACCAAAGCUUGAUGAAACCAUAAUAAUAUAAAGAACAUAUUUAUGCAGUGGCAUAGAAGAUUAGUAAAAUAAAUUUGAGAGUUUCAGAUGAGUACAUGUUGCAUGAGUAGUUAAUGCUCUUGGAGAGGGAGCAAAUACAGAUAUGAUAACAUUUUUAACUAUAGAAAAUCUGAGUAAUCAAAACUAAAAUUGGUUGCAAACUGUCUCAGAAUUGCCAUGCAAGAAUAAAAGACUGGGUUAAAAAAAAGACAGAUGAAACUUAAAGGGAUAAGACAGAGGGAGUGAAUGAUGCAUUCAUGAUGACAGACCUUGUUAGCCAUUGCCAAUCAAAAAAGAAAUCUUGUCAUCAUUGUGGGAGCUUCUGAAAACAUGAUCCCAUUAUUCAGAAUUAGCCAAAAGAACAAAGUCCUAGAAUCAUUAGCAAAAAAAGAAAAAGGCAGAAAUAGGAAAUCCCUCUAAGCCAGUAUAGAAAUCUCAUACAUUUCUUGUAUCUUGAGUGUCGUAUACAAUUUUUGCUGCUUUCCUUUCUGAGAAGAUGGAGGAAAAGCGUAAAGAAGGAGAAGGUGAAUAGAGUUAUGGAAUUUCUUCAGCAGAUGCUGCAGAUUGCAUGUUUUCAUCGGAGAGAAGAAGACUGAGAGGGAAUAAGUCUUAGAUUUAUAAAAUCAAGAUUAGUAUGAAGAAUGUGAGCAGGAAAGUAUGCGCUGUUCUUUGCAGCACAAAGGACAUUAAAUUAAACAGUUUGGAAGACAAUUUAGAAAAAAGAGGUUGAAGCAUUUUCCAGGCAGUGUUAGUAAACUGCUGACAGGAGGCUUUGAAAGCCAAGAGGUUAAGUGAGUUCAGGAAAAUGAUUAGUUUAAUUGAUGGAAUAAGAUUUGUUAGACACUUAAAUACAAUAUAGUCAUGAUAGAGUCUUCAAUUUAGGAAGUCCCUGAACAAGGGCUAACUACAGGCUAGAUGAUGUGGAUAUAUUACCACAUAUUCACCCUUCCCUUGUAAUCCCUUGUUUUAUAAUGUGCUACUCCCCUCAGAAUCUUCCCUUUGACAGUAGGCUACAAACAGACCUCCCAGUGAAACUCAUAUGGUACUUGCUGCUUUUUUUUGUUGUUGUUGUUUAACUGAGAGUAGCCAGUAAUUCAGACUUCUAUUUAUUUGUCUCAGUAGCUUUCUUUAGGUUGCACUUAUGUGGUCAUUUCCAUUUCCAUUGUCAUUCAUUUCCAUAAGACUGAGUAGCUGUAAUAUUUUUGUAAUAUUAUACAUAUAUUUGAUAAGAGCACCCAAGAGAAUCUUUCUGUUGCUUUAGGACAAGGCUGAACUCAUCCAUAUUUUUAUUCUUAUCACUUUUUCUAGUACAUUAACAUAUUGGCAUAGCUUUAUCUGAAGAUACACAGCAAGGUAGAUUUCAUCUUUGAGUCUAAAAUCCAUUGAGAAACCUGCCUUUUGGGCAACUAGAAAAUUUAGCAUUUGCCUUCCAUCCUUCGAAGGUUUUUUGUCUGCAACAUCUGAAGACAACAUUCAUGUCCCGCAGUUUCUACAUUUACGUUCCAUGCAGUUCAAAUCAAGCUACUUAUUAGUGCUUUGUACUGUGCUAAAUGUUAGGAUGCAACUAUCAGCAUAGUAAAUACAGUUAUCUGCGUGUAUGCAUUUAUCAUACUGAUGGAUCAUUACAACUGAAAUGUGAACCUUUAUUUUUAGGCAUUACUGAAUCCAACAUUUCUUUGCAUUUCGGUCUUUGGUUUAUGAUGGAAAAGAACUAAAUUCAGUCAGCACAUGCAAGGAGCACUGAUCCUUGGCUCCCAGCUUUUAGCAAAAUGGAUGAAAUUAAUGAAUGAAUCCAAAUAAUCCAAAAUCGUACAAAAUUAGGCAAGGGGAUUUGAAGCCUUGCCUUGAUUCUCCUGUCUCAUCUGUUAUCUGAAUGUAAUAUUUUUUGUCACCAUACUUCACUGUACAUUUUCAGUCUUCAGAAAAAAGGCAACCAUGCUCUAUCUUCUCAGUCUUUGUAAAUGAAGAGUCAAUAAAAAUUCUUCAGAGACCUGAUGCUCUUAAACCACUUCAGAAAGGAGCAGCCACAUUUUUACUGUUACCAUUGCAUUAUCAACUCUUGCUUUUCCUUGGUCUUAUUUCCUUCACCAGCUCCAGAGCUAUCUAAAGAGUGCAUUAUUACUACAAAACUUCCCAUAUAGACCCACCCCUGCAGUUUGUCUAGGCAGGGGACCAAAAAGAAAAAUCCUGUAUCCCUUCAAAAUAUGAAGCUCUUAUGUGAAAUACAGGACAGAGAUCAAAGUUGGAGUCCUGUACUAAAAGAUCUAUGUAUCUCAAUGUACCUAGAGAAAAAAAUGAAAACACUGGCAUGAGAUAAUUUUUGGCACUCAGUUUUUUCUGUUUUGUAAGGGGCUCAGAGCAAAUAAUGAGAGUUUAUAGGUUAUGGACACUUUCCAACACUAUGAGAGAGUCCAUUUGGUUCCCCCUCAACCCUAACAGUUCAGAGAUCAAAACCUGCAAGAUAAUUUCCUACUGAAGUUGAUAGGAAUUUUGCCAAGUUAUUGCCUCGAUUGAAAUGAUGUGUGUGACAGGGUUGUGGAGACGCAGUCUGAGGAUAUUUAGGCAUGGCAGAUACUCAUUAUGAUCUCAGAAAUAUUUCAUAAUAAAAUGUUAUAAAUUAGAGACAAUUAUAUUUUCUACUAAACCAUUUCAAAAAUAAAACCCGUCAAAAAUUUUAUCUAUAAAGCUGCCUUUCCACUCCUUGUCCUUCAAAUGAAUCUGUCAAGUAUUUGUUCCUCAGUUUGCAAAUGUUUUAGGCUGACUUUUUUUCCUCCUUUUCAUCUCCUGUUGGACACAUUUAUUUAAUGCAAAUUCUGUGAAUGAGGCUUUUCACUUAAAAGCCAUGCUCAUGCUAAUCUGCAUCUCCUAUGUGUAAGGAGACAGUUUUGCCUCAUAUUUAUUCUGAAAUCUGCUUGAAAGCUGGAGUUUUUCUGAAUCUUAUUGUUGGAGACAGCUAUCUUGCUGGAUGGUGACAUUGCCUGUGACACAAGUAGAUAAAGAGCCUCACUGUAAGAUAAAGUUGCCAUUCUGCUUUAUAAUGAUUUAACUCCCAUGGCAAAACACGACCAUGUGAUUUACAAGCUGCUGUGUAAAACACUGUGGGGCUUUUUCCACUGGGCUCCACCACUCGUUCCAGUGGAUCUAUGGAUGCAAGACGAGCACUGCUAUGCAUCAGUCCUUCAGACGUCUCCACUAGCUGAGAUGAAAAAGUCAUACAUCAUGGGAAAAUAAUCAGAAUAUUCAGUUAAUGGCAUGCUAAUCCUUCCCUGCAGAGCAUAUCUUUAGCUCCUUUCUUUGCACGAGUUUUAGGACAGGAAAUUAAUGCUGUUGUCCAUAGAUAGUAAAUAUGCUACAAGGGUCUGUAAUGGUUAGAAAGGCUACCUUGAGGAAGAGAACUGAAAUGUAAAAUACACAGAACUCCCUCAUUUUAAAUAGAGUGAAGUAGUGUUUACUCUCAUGAGGAAAUUGUGAAUGCUGGAGGUUUAUAUUAUGUAAUGAGGAAAAGCUUAAUAGGAACCACUUGUCAGAAGCUGAAGUUAUACUGAUAUUUCAGUGCCUCUCAGGUAGAGACUGAGAUAAAACUGAUUAUGAGGACUGGCAAAAUGAUGAUUGAGUGAAAUGUAAUGAGAUUUGAUGCCCAGGUGAUCAGAGUAAUUAAUAAAAUGGUUUCUCCUGAUUUCUCUUUUGCUGUGAGAAUGUGCAGACUAUUGCUCUGGCCACUUGUAGCAGGGUAUCGGCAUCUGGCUGCUGAAAAUUAAUAUAUCUGGUUAAUAAUUGUGGUUUGUUCUUUUCUUUUUUUUAAGACAGUUAAUUGUUAGUUUCUGAAGUCUACAUGUAGAAAUUCCAAAUAAGCCAAGGAAAUUUAGAUUUAAAUAUUCUCUAAGUAUUAAUUACAUAAUUAAUAGAAACUGGUCUAAGCUAUAAGUUCUGAAAAUUUUGAAACUUCCAAAUUCAUGUAAGCAGAUACCUUUGAUAACAACAGAUACCAUGAAAAAGACAAUUUUUUCCACAGAUUUUCCUCCCUAUGAGAAUUUCUCCUUUUUUUUUUCCUGUUUUCAGCCUUAGAUAUAUGUUUUCUGGAUACCGAUCGUUGCUGAAUAAUCUGAAAGAUUUUGGUAUUUAUUUUCAAUACAAUGGAGUUGCAGGGCUCUAUUGAUAAUCAUGAUACCAAAAAGGAAUGUACCUUCUUAGACUGGAAAUCUCAACAAAGAAACAGAAACAAGUACAGAGUCUGCUUCAUAUUUCACCCAAAAGUGGAUAUCUCAAGUAGACACAGCUAGUAGUGAUGUUGGAAACAUUCAGUGUCUUGCUUUGUUUUUAAGUAAAUAAUCAGUUAUCUUACCUGAAGAAUGAAGAUUGGAGCUAAAGAUCCUUAGUAAUGAGCACAGCAUAAAUCACAUGUAUUGAUAUUGCAUUCUGUUUAGAAAAUGCCAUGCAUACAGAAGAGUGAUGCUGUUGCUAUUCUUUUUCUGAGAAGCAAGAGAGCACAUUAGUUUAGUAUAAAAUAUAUACUUAAAUUUAAGCACCUUCAUCUAAAAUUUUACCUAAUUCUUUAAGGAAUGUAAAUGAUCACUGCGUCAUUCUGAAAGGAAACUAUUCGCAUAAUGUUCUACAAGGGAAAUUUACAGAAAUUAUGAACUGGAAAUGAUAUCACUGAAUCAACUUCAUUGUAUUUAUGAAAAUUUCAAAUGAGAAAUAGUGUUUUUACCUUCAUCAACCACUAUGAAAUUUCUAUAGAAAAGAUCAUUAAAGCUUGGAGGAAGAAGCUAAAACUGUCUUCCAAGUGCAGGAGUACCUUCCUAUUCUAUUGUUAUCAAUAUAGAUAUAUUCAGCUGACUUUCCUCUAGGAUGUAUUCAUGAAAAUUUAGUUUGUGUAUAUCUUAGAAAAGUCAGCCUUUUGUAAGGAAUUCAGAACAUCAUGUCCUGAGACUAAGUAAUGCAAAACUAUUGACAGGGUAUUUCCUUAACUCCAGUGGCACUUUCUUAAAUUAUAGGUAAAAGUGGAACAUGAAUAGAAGUAAUAUAAUUAUAGUUGAUCUUAUACUUGAAUAAAAAAAAAAAAAAGAGAGAGAAGAAGAAACUACUUACAAAGAACUUUGAGAAAAACAAGGAAUUCAAUUCUCUGUAUUAGCAUGAAGAUACAGGUUUCUUAUGGAACACUCCAUUCUGCAAUAACCUGCCAUUUAUUCACAUGAAUGUAAAAUAUCCAUCUCCUUCCCUCUUGCUGCAAUGCAAUAGACUUCAGACAGCGUCUGCUAGAAAGAGAAGGUUUAGCUGAUGCCCCGAAACAGAAUAGCCUUGCAAGUCUUAAACAGGACUUCAUGGGGAACCAAAAGGAGUCUGAGCCAAAAACUUUGUAGUUGGCUCAAUUUAUCCAUGAAAACAUUGGGUCAGUGAUCAAUCGCUACCCAAAUAAUUAAUAAAAUAUUAGGAAUUUUUGGAAAAAAAAAAUAGGAAAGAAAAAAAUAUAAUUCUGCCAUUGCAUAAAUUCACAGUUCUAUCGUGAAUAACGUAGGCAGCUCUAGACUUCUCAUCUCUGAAAAGAUAUGGAAGUACUCGACACAUUUUUGAAAAAAGCAGUAACCAUGAUCAGAGGAAGCAAACAUUUUCCAUAGUAGAAAUAAUAGAGUUGUUCAGGAAGAGAAGGGUUACCAAUUUGAGGAGGUCAUGUCAGAGGUCUAUAUAAUUAUGACAGGCAUGAAGAAUAAAGAUAGAGAUGAAUUGAGGCCAUGAAACGUGCAGCUUCCAAACAACAAUGAAAAAAGAGCUUUCAUACGCAACAGUUAGCUCUACCAAUGGAUGUGUGGACAAGAAAGCUAUAAGGCAUCUCAGGCAGUCUGGAUUGCAGCACCCAGAGAAAUAAAGUACAAAAGGUUCGGGGAAACCCUAAUCUGAAAAAGGCCAGAGCGUGAGGGAUGAUUAAUCACAGGGUUUUUGAUUACAGGCAAAAAUUAUCUCCAAUGACCUAGGAUAAUCGCUACUUUUCCACCAGCAUGUGUGGACAAUGCUGAAGUGCCACAGCGUUUCUAAAGACAAAACGGUGAUGAUCAGUUUUUCUAUUAUUUAAGUAAUUUCGCCUCUUAGAGCAAAGGAGUCUGCAAGAGCCCUAAGGGCUGGUGUGUCUGCUAUAUAUUUGGACUUCUGAAAAUUUAAUCAACGUAAUCUAAUCCCUAUGAUCUGUUACAACAGAGACACUUAAUUUAUUUUUACUUUGGCCCCCAGUGCUCAGACAAUUUUCUUUCUUGGAAACACUCUCAUAAUUGUGUUUGAUCCCUUUGUCUGAGGCAACCGAAUGUACUGAGGGGAAAAAUAUGUGGAAAUCACUGAUGCUGCCAAUUACAAAAGUGAUUAUUGAACUGAAGGUAAGUCUCUUCUGCAAGGGGAAAAAAUAGAGAAAAAUUGUGAUGAGCCACAAGAAAGAACAGUGUCAUAUGUUGUAGUAAUACCCAUACAAGUUUUCUUCAUGAAAUUUUCUAGUGUAUUGCCUUUUUUCAUCCUUGAAAUAAUCUUUGAGAUGUAAGAGAGACUAUACGUUCUGUGAUUCCUUCUGAAGGAUACCACAAUAAGAAUGAUCACAUUUCUCUUGAUUACAGUAAAAUGUUUAUCUGUCAUUCUUCUCUUGAUCACAGUAGUAUGUUUAUCUGUCGUUCAUUCCCUAAAUAUCAAUUUUCAGUUAAAAGAAAUCAAAAUUAAAUAAAAACUACUAUGGUGCAUUGCAACGGGCCAAUCCGUAGAAGACCCGUGCAAUGAAGAGGUAUGGAGAGUAGAUCCCUCAGAGAAACCAAGAAGGAGCAGUGAAAACAGACAUACUAUAUUGUGGCAAUUAUGUGUGCUGUUUAGGGGAAAGGCACCUGGAUACCAAGGAUGAAAGAAAAACUUCAAUUGCCAGAUUCAUGGUCACACAAUGAUAACUGUUUCACAGCUGGCUAAAUGCUAUCCUACAGUCUAAUCUAAAGUAAUCAGUCUUUUCAUCCAUUUGAACAAACCUUGGAUCAAGCCUUUAACCUGCUCUCUCAGGAGAAAAAGCUGAUAUACUUUUAUAUAUAUAUUAUUGUUAAAAAACAGGGAAACUACUGAAGUGUUCAUUAUAUACAAAAAGGAUGGGCAAACUCUUUUGCACGUUACAUUUACAAAUUGAAAACUGACAGGAAAACCCAGUGGUGAUCUUGGAUAUUUAGCAGAAACUUAAAACUGCCACUGACUAACACCUUUUUUUUACUGUGAGUAACCACUAUAGAUCAUAGGAAAAGAAAUACAUUUGCCAUAAAUUUAUAGCACCAAUUUGUUGUCAUGAGUGUUAUGCAGUGAGAAAUGAGGUUUGCAUGAAACUGAAAUUUAUAGGCUUUAUAGGGGAAGAAAAAAAGCUCUGUUACUUGUCACCUCGGAUCUAACUUUAGCGCACAGCACAUUUUCAGUGACAGCUUGUAAUGCAGAUCAGAUAAUAUGCUCAAUGUCAUAGAAACGAUUCAAGGUGUCAAAACAAAGCAUGAUUAUUAAAACAAACCAGAGCGAGGAAAAAAAAUGUAAUAGAACAAGAAAUGAGCAUACCUACAAAAAGUUAUUUUGGUCUACGUCUUUUCUGAGAGCUACAGUAAAAUGGUAGCACUUAGCACGUAAGUUUCUUUUUUAGCACUGAGCUCUGUUUGUAACAUAGAAAGGUCUUUGAACACACUCAUACCUAAAAAACGUUUGGGAUGAAACAGUCUCAGGUAUUUCCUAAUCUGUAUUUUGGACUUUCUUUGAGUUACAUAUAUUCUCCUUUAUAGGAUAGGUCUUUGUGAUUGCAUGAGAACUGCUGAGUCACGGCCUGACCCUCUGAUUGAUCACCUGAGGUGAGCAGUGAGUCAGGCACAGGAUCACAGGUGAAGGCAAUUCACCUGUGCUGCUGGAAGGGGUGCAGCCUGGUUCCACCCCUCCUAGACCCAUUUAAGAGCUGACUACCAGUAGGAAAGGGGCUCUUCUGGAGAUCCCAUCUUUGGAGUUUUGUGGUGAACCCAGGGUACAGUCAAGCCCCUCCAAACUAGCUAUCAGCUAUUCUAACAAAGGCUGAAACAGGAACAGAAGAGAGCUCAAUGAAAGAUGUGUCUAUGGAAAAUAUUACCAACUGUGAACUGGUUAUAUGCCCCCACUAGAAACAAAAAGCAGUACUGAAUGACAAUUAUUACAAAAAGAAAACCAAACUGUGGGCCAGAUGGUCAGAUCUCAUCUUAUGUUGAAGCUCACUGGUGAAUGCCUACUGAUUAGGAAGAGUUUCCCUGUCUUUUAGGAGGAACAUAACACCGGGAGUUAGUUGAUAUGAAAUUUUGCAGCGCAUGCAAGACUUUUGAUAAAUGUCAGCACAUCCCCUUUAGAUACUGAAAAGCCAACUCGACCUUCUCCAGGCUGAACAGCUCAAGCUCUCUCAGCCCUUUCUCACAGAGGACAUGUUCCAUCCCUUGGAUCACUUUUUGUGGUGUUCCUCUGGACACAAUCCAACAGGUCUAUGUCUCUUCCAUGGACUUCACAUCUGGACACAGUAUUCCAGGAGCUGUCCCAGUGAAACAUCUAUUUGAACAUGUGAGUUCCAGCUAAUACAAGCUUUCCAGUUCAGUGUCACGGGGACUUGGGCCUUUGUAGGUUUGGGACUAGACAGCAAAGCAAUGUGAUUGGAGCAACAGAGACAACUCCAUGUAAGGGACUGCAAUCUCAUACGAGAAGGCAUUUGCAUGUUUCAUCCAACAAAUAGAUAGAGCCAUAAUAGUUAUUAGCUUAUAAAUGCUAUGGAACUAAUAAUCAUCUCGCAUUAAUUUGACAAAGUAUUUUUCAACAAUGGAAAUGGCUCCAGAGAACAGAAGUUUGUUAGCAUCCAUACUAUUCUAUUUGAGGAUGCAGGAAUGCUUUUGAAUAAUUAGGUUUCCAGAAUUUUUAUGUGUGUAUAUACACACACACAGGUAAAAGUACUGAUUUAAAAAGUCCAACUACCCUACAAUUUCCACAAUCAGCAACAAAUCUUUUGUAACAUUUUAUGGCUUUUCAUACUCCUGUGUCAGACACUGCUGUCGUGUGGAUAUUUUCAUCUCUGCCUUUAAGUGGGAAGAUUUCUAUUUAUACAGACGUAUGAAAUCACUGGAAGUUGAUGAAUUAAAACAUUAUUCACUCAGGAGAAAAUGACCUUCUUAUAAAGACUGAUGGAACAACCACCAGCAACUUCAAGAAAUUGUUUACCAUUCUCUGGAUGAUCACAGCUUGAUCUGAUUUUGAUCUUUUCAUAUUUUACACAUAACUUAUUUGUAGCAGACCAGUGAAAAAAUGGAUGUUUAUUUGUGUGAUGUUAAGUCACUGUUCUCUAGUAAUUCCCUCUUUUAAACGCAUACACAUACUGAGUAAUGUAAAUAACUAUUUUCUAUGAUUAUUUACAAUCAUAAUCAUGAGGGGCCUAUUGGUUUUGCUAUGUUGUUUUGGAAGCACUUUGAAGUCCUAUUAAAGACCAGGAUCUUUUGGUACCAAAACACAAAAUCUGUUCUCACAAGAUAUAAACAGUUUUCAUUCCAAUUCAUACUUAAAAAAAAAAAAAAAAAAAAAAAAAAAGCAAUUGUGGAGGCUGCAUGCAUGUGGUCAUCAAAAUAAUUUGUAACAAAAAUAGCCUGUAAUCAAGUAUUUACUGAUUAUUUGUAACUAGUUCCUUAAAGGCUGACAAGCCUAUAAUUCUGACAGAUUUAAUACAGAGUUAUGUUCUUCUACCUCCGCAAAUUAUUCUUUUUAUGGAGUAUAAUAGAUAAUGAUCUGUAGAUCCUUAUCCAAAGUUGACAGACAUCUUUCUCCAUGAGCCCUACUACUUAGUACCAAUCAGACUGCAAUUUACUGCAAUGCUUAAGGAAAAAAAAACCAACAACAGUAUCCUCCUCUUUCAGAAAAAUCAGUGAAAAUGGCAGACUCUUCAGCUGUAAGAAAAAGCUACCAAAAAAGGAAAUUUUCUAGACACUUCAAAGUUCUCUCUCUCACCCCUCCUGCUUUUUUUUUUUUUUCCCUUCCAGUUCCAGACUUUGCAGAUACUGUGCAUUAUUAUUGAAGGAAUGUACAGUAUUCUCACUUUUAAAGAUUUUGCUUGGAACACCCAGAUAUUCAGAUGGCAUCAUACAGAAGACAAAAAGACUGUUUUCAUUAUAGGGUUGCUUCUCUAUCUGCCAGACUGCAUAUCUUGUUUACUGAAGUGUCAUUUUUAAGAAAGUCUUUAGAAUCAUUAAAGAUUCUGAAUUCCUGGCUCCACACAGGACCACCUAAAAUCCAAACCAUGUGUGUGAGAGUGUUGUCCAAACGCUCCUUGAACUUGGUGCCAUGCCCACUGCCUACUGAUGAAGAACCUUUCCUUAAAAUCCAUCCAUGUAUGCCCUGUAGAUAUGUGGGAGCAGGACGAGACUUUCAGGAACCCACGCAGCCCUGUCUUCACCAACCUGAGACUCACAUCUUUCAAAAGGUCAGGAGAGAUUUUUUGAGGCAUACAUUUUACACAAACCCAUGUCACAUCAGAUCCCUGUUGCUAGGGCAGUUACAGCAAGCUGUGCAGGGAAUCUACAACUGCUGGAAAUUUCUUUCAGCUCAAUGUGAUUCACAGACAUGAGCACUAAUAAGAACAUAGUGUAUUAUUAAAAAUAUCAGCUUGACAGGGCUCAGCAAGUGCCUGUAGCAAGCGUACCUCAGAAAUGGGGAAAAAGCCCGACUCCAUUAACUUUCUGCAUCUGAGCCUUCUUAUCUGAGGAGGGAGGCAGAGAAAUUACACAAGGUUGAGAUUUUAAUGAGAAGAAGUGGAGUAUUAAUGAAAUGCUAAUGAGAUCUACAUAAUCUAGUGUGUCACUGCGGGCUUUCAGUCCUUUCAAGACUGGUAAACAAAACAGCAACCAUUGCUUUGCCUGAAGUAGAUUCAUGAAUUUAGCAGUGGAAUUUAAAAGCAUUAAAAAUGCCUUGUGUCCCUGGUAGUGACAUUAAAUCUUGAUUUUUUUAAAAAAAUAAAUUUCUCAAAUGUAGAAGUAAGACCUCAAGUUUUUCUCCUGCUGUGGAUUUGCUACAUACAGCUUUAGAGUCAGGCCUCAGAAGUGACCAGGUGGUUUGCACAGGAUUGGGUGACACCAUUUCUACUUAGGUAACUAGAGCUACAGCUAGAGCUGAAACACAGGUUUCAGUGGAAAGCAUCUCAUGGGAAAAGGAGGUAAGUCACAGAACUUUGUAAAUGAGUUUGUUUUUCUAGGAGAAAAUGGCACUCAGGAAAAUGAGAAACAGAGAGCAGUAUCUGCAUCCAAGCAGGGGAAGGAGUCCUAACUGGCAAAACAAAGGUCUCUGUGACCAAAACCUCUUCCCGGGGAAGCUAACAAAGAUCCUCAGAGUACAGAAAAAUACAGACAGAGUAGCAGAAGCAGCUGAUCAGAGUAGUACUUUUGUCUGGCAGAAAAUAAUCAUUUUGAAUGAAAAAGAUGUGCAAAUUUUUCUGUUUGCUUCUCUAUGCAGGCUGAGAAAGUGAUUGCCAGGAGCCCCAGAUCAACCUUAUUUUCUCAUGCUAUGAGGGUGGUAGCCAGCUGUAAAACCAGGGCUUUGACUUCACACAGGUCUGACUCAUUUGUCCGCUCAAAGCCCUGGCGGAGGGGCUGGAGCUGAUACAGUUGUUGUUAUAAAUAUUUCUCCUUUCCUGCUAUUCUCUUUUCAGUGUGUUUCCAGUGCUCAAGCCUAUGGGGAGCUUUCAGGCAAGAGAUUUUCCUUUGCAGAGUGACUUAACUUUGGGCCCAAAUAGGCUGUCAGAAGACUGGAGUGCUAAAAAAGGCAGAAGUAGGUUGGAACUAUUUUUAUAGCCCUGUGAUCCAAAGGCGAUCUUUGUCUUAUACAGGAGAGAACAAGUUUCAAGCUGUUCUAUUUUGUUUCCUUGUUUUACAGCCUUCAGUAGCCCUCUCUGCCCCUCAGGGAUCUGUGAGACACGGGGCCACAGCUGCCACUCGUCUCCCUUCCAGUAAAAGGACUCGAAUUCACAGAGGAAAAAUUUAAGUUAGUUCUCUCCUGGUACAGAAACAGCCAAAGGCACCAUAGAAGAUGUUCAGAAUUACUCUUUGCAUCAUCUGAUUUCUUUAUACAUGGCUCCUAAGAAAACUUUACAUAUGAACUGAACUUCAAGUCAGAUUUCAGUGGUAAUAUCCACCACCCCUACAUUUGCAAGUUUGAGGCUUUACUAAAAAGGUCUUAAAUGUAGUUCUAAACUGGAAGAAAAUUUGCAUUCUUUUAACUACCAAAAUGAUGCCAGCUCAAUAAAGCUCAUUUGGAUCCUCCAUAUAUUAGCAUCAAACUGCUGAUUCCAAAUACUUUCUUCCAGACAAAUGACUUAUUUCCCACAGGGAGAAGAAAAAUGCAGAUAGAAAAUAAAAGAAGUCAUUCAGCAGCUUCAGAUGUAUUUUUACCUUGAAUCUGUUUUCCUCUAGGUUUUUACUUUUAUUCUUCCAAGAAAGAAAUGUCUUUCCAUUUCAACACUUCAGCUAUACAUAUAUCAUAAUAAUUUAGCAUACAUUCCUCUAAUCUUUGAUUAAUGUCUUACCUUUUACUUAAAUACCCAUUAGCAUGAAGUCAUCACAGUAAUUUCAGUUGAAUCCCCAUAUCACUGACAUAUUGUUAAUGAGGACAUGAUUAGCAUCUGAAAUUUUCAAGGGAUGAUUGCUGAACUGUUUGGAUUCUUCCCAUCAAGACUCUCUAGUUCUUUUACAGGUAAAGAGAGAUCUUUGAAUCAGAUUCUUCCACAUUUCUUUGUAUGAAAAUUCCAAGUCAAGAUAAGUGCACAAUUUCUGAAAGUUAGUUGGUAUUUGGGUGAAAAAUGUGCUCAGAUUACUUUCUCACAUGCUGAUCUUCAUUACUUUAUUAUUUCUUUAUUUUUUCUUGACUGACUUGUAUGUUUCCAUCAGAUCCUUUUCUUCCAUCUGAGUCUAUAAGAAUCUGCAGACAGGAUUACCUCUUAUGGAAACACAGGUAACAAAAUUUUUUAUCUUCUAAAAUACUGCUUCUGAAACAAAUUUUACUUUCAUUUACAUGAAACCACAUGCAAAUCAUAUACAGUCUAAAAUGUUCUUUUCAACAAAAAUAGUCCUCCAUAUGCUUUUGUUGAUUUUUUUUACCUGCUCUAUUAAGUUCCAAGUGCCAGAAUUAAAUGACUGACAGUGCAUUUGUUUGUUGCAAAAACUUUCAAGAUCCACUGAAAAUCUCAAUAGUAUCUAUCUCUGAGCGUGGCAAGAAAAUAACGCUGUCUACAUUCCCCUACCUCUGUUCUCUUAUAUGUUAAAUAAGAACAACGCUGACUUGACAGAGCUACAAUUUGAUACUUGAAUUCAUUAGUGUUUGUAAGAUACGGUCCAAAGUGAAGUUUGCUGGAAGCACUGCUACCUUAAGAAAUAUAAUCUCUUCCUGUCUUUUCCAAAAUCUUCCCAGAACUAGGACUGCAGUUUUAACGCUGAAAAAAAUCUGUGCAUGAAGUAUUGUUUCACUACCUUGUGCCUCGUUAGCAUUUUAUGUCCCUUUCCUUGCAAUCCUGGUGUUCUUGGACAUAUAAGUAUGGACUAACAUAAUCUGCUCAGGAUCUGCAAAAAUGGGGAAGAUGAGCUCACAGAAAGCUGUGUGCUGCUGUGUUACCAUGUCUGCAUGAAGGAACUCAGAUACUUUUGCUUUGAAUGCAAAUCAGGUCAGUUGUCAAAGCAGUCUCCUGAUACCACUGCCGAGGCUUUGCCAUUCCUGCUUCUUCCUGCUGCGUUGAUUCAUAUCUUUCAGAUACUAGUGGUAGAGGCUCACUGUCUCAGAUAAAGGAAACAUCAUUAUUAUUCACCUCUUGCCCUUUCUCCUAUUGUCAUUGACCCUGUGGGUGUUUAUAAGUGUUAAUGAGGACUGUCCUGUAUUUUUGGCAGGGUCCGAUAGUCAAAGCACCAUGAGUGCAGCACCUUGUGCUUUGCCUUGUUUAGCAUAGUUGAUAGUAUCGUGAAUUUACAUGGCUUUGUUACUCUCCUUGCACUGUUUAAUUGAAUGAAAAUUACCUGAGGUUCGCUUUAUCCCUUGUACUGUGUAAGCAACCAGUAGACUUGGAUCCUGUUUACUGCUUCUGUUUAUUGAACUUGUCUUUCUCCUGUGUUAAUUACUGAGAUGUCCACUUUAAGUACCUAUAACUGUGGUCCUAAAUGUGAAUACUUUUGUAUAUGUUACUUACAUUAAGCAUGUGAAUAGUCCUACUGAAAUCCUAAAAACAGGAACAGCUUAAGUUACGGAUUAUUAUAAUGCAGUAUUUGAAUUAUUUCCAGGUUACUAGAAUGCUGUUUCAUAGGACUGAGAAUGCCACAACUUAUCAGCUUGCUCAUCUGUACCUCAUACUUCAUUUUACUCAUCUGUAAAUAAGAUAUUCUUCAUCUUAUUUAGUCCCCAUCACAGCAGCAACUAGCAGUAUUAUUAGAGGUUUUAUGCAAUGCAAAUAAAGUAUAGGAGUCUCUAAAUAAGGUCUUAGAUAUUUAUUAGAAUAUUAGCUACUAUAAUAAUUGAAGCACUGGGGUGAAUUUCACAAUAAUUGUAUUAGUUUAAAAACAGUGAAAUAUUUUCCUUGUUUAUAAGGUUAUGCCUGCCCUGUGUACAAAUUUUUUACUGUACUGUACAAACGCGACACCUGAGCGCUGAAAGCAAUCAGUUAAACUGUUAAGUAAGCCACAGGGGCUGAGAGCAGAGGAACAGAGUUUGAAGAGCAAUUACUGAAGAUGAAGAAAAAGGCAAUUUAGAAAGCAAAUUCAAGUAUAGUUCAAGUUUAGUCAAGGAGAAAGAGAGGGAAAAAACCCAGUGUAUUACACAUCUAGAUUUUUGUUAGUUCCUUCAAAGACCCACACUUCAGUUUGUUUAUUCUUAAAGUCCUCUACAAUUAAUGCAAAGAGAGGUCUGCCAUUCCUGUGUGGAUCACCUAUCCUUAAAAUCAGUGUCUAAAAUAUUACCCUUUAGUGCUCUUUCUCUCUCCCUCCCUCCAUCAUGAGUAAAGGAAGAUGUCUUAGAAAGAUAGUUUCUACAAAUGGCUUACUUCUGAAUAAAUUUACAUGAAAAAAUUCAGUCAAAAAAGCCCAAGGAAGUUACAGCUUGCUCAGUCGCUUGAAUGAGGAAUGUCCAGGCAGCAAGAUUUUCUUUUUUUGCAGUUUCUAAUACUAGUACAAAAUGUGAAUAUUUUCACAGAAACUGUGGUAUAUUCUUGACAAUCUAUUUUUGCAUCAGACUGUACUCAGAAAAAUAGUAUAGUCAAUAAGAAAGUGGAGUUCACACUGCGCAUUUCCUGGCUUGUAAAUCAUAAAUAAUAGGAGGAGACACUUGUGCUGAUAUCUACUCCCGGAGUUGUAGCUCAGCAGGUUUGUCUCCCAGCAGAGUCCCUCAGCAUCCCAUGCUGGGGUCCUGGUAGCAGGGUGCUUCCCUCUGAACCAAAGGCACCAAAUCUAGCCAGGAGACACCAAGCUCAAGAAUGCCGUGCAAGAGAUUUACAUCCAACCAGAGAGGUGACUCAUGAACACCAGCACAGGCACUAGCACCACUUUUUUUUUUUUUUGCAAAGUGAAGUGAUGGAAAGGUAUAGAUUUGCUAAGAAUUCAGAAUGGCUCGUCUUCUUGAAGAGCUGCAGUGAUAGACCAAAAGUGCUUGGCUCUGCCUUGGGUCACACAUCUCUUCAGGCCUUAGCUAGCCAUCGUGGGGGUGCCCAAAGUGCAGCAGAUGCCUGUAGGCUUACACGAGUCCAUUUUCACUCAAGGCAGCUCUUGGGACAAGAAGGCAGAGGCUGGGAGGCUCCAGGUCUGCUCUCAAGUAAAUAGGAAAAAAGGAGAUAUGCUGAUUUAAUGUUGAGCUUUCCAUUCAAGAGCAGCUGAGCAUUGAGGGUGGAAGAGAGAACCAGGAGCAGCUUUUUAUGAUUCACAGGUAAGAGUAAUGGCCAGCACCAAGUCACGUUGCACUGUAUAAUUGUUUUCUUCCCUGGCACUCUUUCUAUUUUUAGACAUUUUAAUUUCCUGUAAUCUUUCCACAGUCACAUGUGAGCAAGUAAACAGAUUGUUUUGAAUUAAACAGCUGUGCUAAUUUAUUGCGCUAUUAAAAGCAUAGCUCGAAUGUUCCGUUCACUGCAUGCUGGGACUGGAUGUACUGGUGUGUACAAAUGGGCACACAUCUCCCUUCAAAUUAAAACUUACACAUGCCACAGAAGAGGCAGGGCAGGGUAGCAGGCAGAGCAACUGGAGGACAUUCAGUUCCACUGGAGACUGUGCACAGAGGAGGCUGUAGCUGUGCUUGAGGGGGACCUGAGGCAGCUGUCUCCAGGGCAAGAAGGAAUGGACAUCCUCCUGGCAGCGCUACUGAGUGAGCCACAGCCUUCUCUUUUUGCUGACCUACUGCUUGGACUUCUAGAGAACUGUUUUGGUCAAGGCAGAUUGUGUUUGAUCUCCUGACCACAGGUGCAGGUACAGGUGCUCUCUGUCUCCUUGACAAGGCAAGGAACAUUUCCUUCCCCAAGUCCUGUACUAGUAGAAUUUUACUCUGGCCAAUCAUCAGCCACCCAAAAGGAAAGAUAAAAUGGACUCUCUGCAAACGCACCUACCUUCUCACAGUGGUCUAUAUGCUUGAGGCCAGAGUGAAAUAAAAGGAUUCAGGGGAACAGACCUAAAGCACCAGAGAAGGUAAAACUGGUUGUGAGCUCAGUGGGCCCCCAGUGGUCAAGGUCACCUCACACUUUAUAUAUCAGUUCUGGUCUUUCUUACUAGAAGACGCAAUCUCAAACACACUGUUUAUCAAUUUUUCUUUCUUCCUGGAUUGAAUUUCUGGGACAGCAAACAUAUAUUUUAAAUGAAAAUCAUGAGAAAUGGAAGGCUGUUAUGAUCUUCUGAACUGAUCUAGGAGAAUAUCCAUAUUAAAUAAGUCCAUGGAGAGAGCAAGAGAUGUUGCAGUCAAGAUAAAGAAAUAUUUUUUUUAUUCUGGGUUUUCUUGUCAGAAGUUUGAAAUUGCUCACCUCUAUAAUUCUCACAUCUUCUAAAAAGCAUUCCUGAAUUUCUAAAUCUUGCUUCUCUGAGCAUUUCUACCAAUAGCAAAGGAAACAAAUUACAAUUACCUUUCUAAGAGACCUAAUGGCACAUAAAAUACUUGGGUGAAUGUACAUGACUCUUCGCUGUGUCUUGGCUGCCCUAAACCUGAAACAAUUCUAGGAGAAAAAUCCAGUCAUCCCUCCUAAUAGUUAAUCAACUCUUUGAAAUGCAAUUUUCACAUGUCCUAUGCAUUUAUUCUUUACAUUCUAGAGCUUCUAGGUUAACAAGAAACAAAUCAGGUUACAAAUAUUUGUAUUUGUAUUUGUAACUCUCUGUAUAUAUGUAAUUUGUAAGCUAUAUAUAUAUACACACAUAUGUAUGCAUAUACAUGUGUAUAUAGCACAUGUUGUUUAUGGAAAAUGAAAUAUUAUUUGUUCAAUGAGCAACUCUCUGUGUUAACAAGUUCCUAUGUUGACAAAAAUCAAUGCUUGAUAGCAAGGAAACUUGAGAAGAACAGAGAGAGAAAGAAAAAGGAGACAGGUGGCUUGCCCCAGGUCUGCCAAGAACAUUUUGGGCUUGGAGAACAUGUACUCCUUUACUUGGCUGAGUGCUGUUUCUGUCUCAUCCACUGAAAGAUUUCUUCUCUUUCACCUAGCUUGCUUCUACCAACUGCACGUAACUUGCUGUCUGUUCAUUUGCUCUGUUCUUCAGCAAGGUGUCUUACCAUUGAUUGUCCAUCGUUCUUUGUGUCUAAUUUUUUCUGCUUGUGGAUACCAGGUGGCAAUAGAUUAUUGCUCUCCUUUUGUUCUCACCUUCCCCAUCCUCCCCACUUGUCAUCCCAACUAAUCAAAAAUUAGCAUUUGCAAGUGUUCCACUGUUGGUGGAAAAUGUUUGAAGUUCUCCUUAAUAUACUGACAGCACUGAUGAGUACAGAUGCUCAGGGCAAUCACAAACAAAAGUAUGGCUUUCCUCAGCUCACCUAUCUUCCUUAUUCAUCUCUGAAAUCCAAUCAAGCACUCACAGAAAUAGAUGAUUUUUUCUUUUGACUUCAGCAGCACUAGAGACGAGUCCCUUGGGCAGCAGCUAAGUCCUCUGACUUUAAUAACAACAGGAUACUGGCCCCAUUCCUCAUCCAUAUUUUAGAUAUCCAGUUCAUUCUGCAGUACAGUGAAUUGUAGCAUUGACAAACAGAUUUAUCUAUGCUUUUUCUUGCUCAUCAGAAUUCCACAUACUCCCUAUGAAGUUUAUACAUUCCUAUGAUUACCUCAGUUAGAACCCUUCAAUACAGGACUAGUACCUUCAUAUCUCUUCAUAUUUCUUAAACAUAAGUUAACUUGAAUGUAACAGACAACAUUUUCCAGUGAGUUCAGUACAUCCAGGACCAAUUAAACUUUGAAACAUUUGUGCUAUUAAUUUAUGCCUGUGUAAUAUCUGCCCGUGUGGGAUUUCCAGAUGUCUGAAGCCUAGCCAAAGCUUCUCCUUCAUCACUGCUUCUGAACAUCUGGAAAUUCCAGAUGAGUAACCAAAUCUGCUUUUCACAUGGACAAUGUUCCUGAAGUGAAAGAGUCCACAUGCAGAAAAUCAGAUGUAUAGAUAAAUAGCAUCCUUAGGAUGAGGUAAGAAUACUUUCAGUGUUAUAAAAAAGAGAGCAUUACCAAAAAAAAAAAAAGACAUCUUUCUCCUGCUGAAGAGCAAUAGAAAACAAGUGCCGAAUUCCUCUCUGAGCCUUUUAAAAUCUACACUAUAUCUCAUUUUGUCUUAGCUUUUUUAUGCCUCUUUUCCUCUUUUUAUGAUGUCUAUUUCACCUAAGCAGAUACCUUUAUUAACCUCUUUCCUUCCCUUUUCACUGUGAAGACAUUUCAGAUUAUCAGAUUACAGAAGUACACCUCAAAGCUCUCGUGCUUACAUCUGUAUGUCCAUUACUUGUCCAGUUUCAUUAGCUUUUUCUUCUCCUAUGGCUCUGUAAUUUAUGUUUCUCAGGGGACCAGUAGACUAUUUCUUACUGACACACAAUUCACCCCAUGAUAUACGUAUGUCUGAAUAGUAUUGCCAUAUAAAUAUUUGAGCUAUGCAUUUCUUCAUUAAACUACAAUUUAUUAGGCAGCUAUUUCAAAACCAAUCCUACAUCUCUCCUAGUUCUUUUUUUUUUUUUUCUAGAGGUCAUGAACACACUGUGAUGUGAAUUUAAUUUGUGCUAAACGCAGUGUGGUCAGAGGAAACGCUUCUACUCAGAGUGUUUGUGAUGUUUGAAUAUGCAUGGACGCUUUGCUGCUACUGUGGGUUUAAUCUAACUCUUAUUAAUGAAUAUACCUUCUGUGGCCAGAAUGAUAAAUUGGGAAAUAAGACUGCAGGUAAACUGAUUUUAAAAAAAAAUAUGUGGACCCAUUGGGAAAAAAAUUACAUCCUGAAAUCAUCAAAGAAAGACUGGAAUGCCAGGUGUGAAUUUUAGCUAAAGGGUUUGCAGUAAUUUGAUAUACUUGUCAUGUAAAUUAACAAUUAAUAAGCAGUAUAAUAAUGCAAUAAUAGGUAGAACACUGAAAUAUAGAGAGAUAAAAUGUAAGCAGGCUUAGAAAAGCAGGAAUUAUUUCAGAUCCUGAUCCUGCCAGCACUCCCAAGUGGAAUUAACAUCAGGAGCUACUUAUAAUGCCUCAAUUUUUUAGAUAGAUAAUUCUGUCACUUACAUGUUGGUCAUGUGUUGAACCUUUCUUUACAUUUUCCUUUAUAAAUCUAUUCUAUUCUUCUGUUCAGUUUCUGUAUGGAUGUGUAGACUAUGAACGACACACUUGACCUGCAUCUUUUGCUUGCAAGUUUUAUGGUUCAAAGAAGAGAUGUUUGUAAGUUUAUUACCAUUCUUGUUGGAGACAGAAUUUUCCUUAGUAGUAUGCACAUAUAAAAUAUGUGAAAGCAUUUUAACUUAAAGCAAAGAACUGGUUUGAUCAAACCAGUCAAAUUGGUUUGAUUUCUGUUUCUGUGUUGGUGGGUUUGCAGCUUUUGUUUGUGUUUUGUAGGGGUGAGAUUUCCAUAUGAGUGAGUGCUGUUUUUUUUUCUCCACAGAUUAGUUCUUGAAAGUCUUUUUUUAUAUUUAUAUACUUUGACAAUAGUAAUAUUGAUCUUAAAAUGUGGAAGUGAUAUAUUUCAGUGGAAGGUGUUACUAAAAUACAAAAUAUUUUAAUUAAAAUGUGGGCAUCAUGCAUUAUUAUUAGUAUAAAAUCACACUAAGAAAAAAGGAAGUGAGGCUUAAGUCCCAUAAUUAAGAUUUUCAUAGCAUUAGGUUGAAAAGAAAAUGGACUUCAAGGAAUGUUAGUCUUUUUAUGAAAUAUAUGAUAAAAUUUUCUUUCUCUAAUGUGUAGAUGGAAAUACUGGAUUCAAAAGCAUUUUUGAAUGAAUUUCAGAUGGAUUGAAAUAAUAUUUAAAGGGGAGAGUCUGUAUUAUCCAAGAAUACAUCCGAUCUAUAAUUCAAUGCAUAAUAGCUGCUCUAACCCAGACAUUACUCUGCCAAAAUCUAACUCAUUAUUGUAUAAAAAUGAAUAUCUUGAAAAUGCUAAGUGCUAUAUGGAAUAAAGUAGUAUUUAAUUUUUGAGUGGCAAAAUCUUCAUAAAGAAAAAACAUUUCUUUGCAGAUCUUUAUCAAAUCACACAAUGGACCUCUUUAAGAAAAGAAAGAAGAAGUUUGCCUGCAGAAUGAUCAUUAAAAAGUCUGAGCUCCUUUAUGUCAAUUAAAAGCUUACUUCUCACCUUACAGGUCACGUCCUAAAUCCUACAAAUGUAUUCACUCAAGAAAGCAGAUUAGAUUGAUAGAAUGAGUAAGAACUUGCAUCACUGGGCACUAAAUUAUUUGACAGUAACAUUUUAAAACUCAAUUUAAAUGAUCUUUCGUUAUAAUACAUGGUUUUGGGAAGUGAAAAGUGUUUUCUAUCCACUGCUUAAUUCUCAUGGAAAAAUUGUUCCAUAUGAAGAGUAAUUUCCUUCAUACUUGGAGUGAAAAAGAUAAAUGAGAGAAAAGCAAUUUAGCUCAUUGAGAAAUCCCAGUUGCCACAGUCUGGGCAUUUUAGGGAGAAAGAUGAACUUUCAUUUCAAGUCUAGAGGUGUGGAAUUAACAAUAUUUUUCUGUAGAAAUCUACAGCUCCUAUAUAAUAAAAAAGUUUGUUUUCUUAUAAAAAUCAGAACCUAUUUCUUAAAAAAAACCUCUGAAAGUCCUUGUCCUAACCUGAUUCAACCAGUUCAAAGUGUUUUCUCCCUUCCACACUGCCUCUGUUCAUAGUUCUAUUGACUAAUGCAAUCAUUCAUCUGUUUGAAAAGCAUGGUGCAUUUGACAAUGGAAAACUAUGUUUCUUGAGUUUUUGUUCUGUUGAGUGAUAUUGAUCAUGACGUUUGAAAGCACAAUGUGCCUUUAUCCCUUUUUAUUCUUUUCUCUCAUAUAUUUUGUUAUUUUUCAUCUUUGAAUAUGUCUGUACAACAUAAUGCAGUGUCUUAGAAGUAUAUUCAACUUACCUUGGGCACCAAAAGCUGUAUAGAAACACUAACAUAGCAAUCUGAAUAAGCUAAUUGGCCCAGCUGAGAAGAUAUGUCGGUAGAGCAUCACAGUGUUACAAGAGCAUUUAUUGAUCCAGAGCUAACUUGCAGGAUAUUUCUGAGCAAUACUGCAGUGCUCAUCUGUUUACUUCAGGUCUUGUUUUUUAACAGUGGCUGUAUCAGAGGCUUCAAAGAGACAAAACCUUCAGCACCUUGAGAAGGAAGAUGAGGGUGAAGAGGCAGAAGGGUUUAAUAGAGAGUGCUUUGGUCUGCUUUGGCUGUCAAGUCUACUGCCAAAGUUAGUUUCUGGAAAGUGUUGAUGAAAACUGAAAUUAGCUGCCUUGGAAAGGAUUGUGAAAAUUAAAUCUUUUAAUCUGUAAAGAAUGUUAUAGUUUCAGAAACCAUUCACAUUUUCCAGAAGUCUCCUCUGAAGGAUACUGUUCAACAUACAAAAUACAAGCAUUUUGUUGCUAAUGGUGACUGCAGCGAUUGUGUUCAUCUUGAAGUUAAACAUUCCCAAGAUGCCUGUUCUUUUGUAGCUCUACUUCUUGGCUAGUCCAAGAAGAGAAGGAAACAAGGAAGCCAUUUGUAAUAUCCUGAAGUUCACAGUCCACCAUCAGCAUUUUCAAUUUUGUCCAUUUUUAACCUUGUACAGGAAGGAUCUCUUCCUUGUUAUCCCCCUCAAAACUGUUGGCCGUCACUAGUGACAGCUGCUACAUUUAAGACCACAGUCGUUUUUUUGUAUUAUAUGUCUUUGUGAAUGCCAUCUCUCAUGUUCACUCUAUGACCUGGAGUUAUCCAACCUCUGGAAGAAGCUACUGUCUAUGAAAGGUCCUGUUGUUGUUUUGUUUUGUUGUUGCUUUUUGGUUGGUUAUUUUCCAGAAAUCAACUUGAUAAGACACACAUUAAUUUACAUACAAAAACAAAGGCAACAAAAACAUAAGAACUCCUGUGCUUGCUGAACCUUAUGCUGACGUUUCCUUUCCUGACACUUUUAGCAGUGCAUUAUUAUAUUUCUUUUGAAAGCAGCAGGAAGUUUGACUCAUGUACUUUAAGUUAAAUACUCUCUUUCAGCUGUUUAAAAUUUAUUUAGGUUAAAGUAUAUUUUCUUAUGUCUGAUUUCAUUUUAAUUUGUUCUCUGUUAUAUACAAAAAUGUUGCAAACAAUCUGUACAGACUGUAAUCUGGAAGUUCAAAGUCAAAAAUUCACCCCAAAAAACAAUUUCAGUCUUUUUAAAAUGUUCUUGAUCCCUGUAAUGAGUGAUAAGAAAUACACAUGUAGCCAAAAAGUGUCUGUAGACUCAAUCAGAUUCAUAAUACGCCCGUACUUCUAUGAAAAGCUACAAAUGAAAAUAAUUUUAUGCCUUUCAUCUGUUUCUGUGGAAUCAGAAGUGAAAUUGAGAAUAAGAAAAUAUUCAAGGUAUGUUACACUUGUUUUUAAGAUCUGUUCCUGUAACAUAAUUGUGCAAAUAGAUAAAAUUAUGGACGCACAUGUCUGUUAAUAACAGGUUGGAAAAAGAACUCUCUCCAUACAUCCUGUAUGGAUUGUUCUAUCUCAAUAUUUUGUAUGACUAAGGACUGCAAAAGGAAAGAAAAUAGACAUUAUAUUUAAAACCUCGUUGUUGCUCAAUGAACUGUUAGAGUACUCAGGGGUUACGCAGGUGCUUUUGCAACAAAAACUUUAAUUCAGAGCAGUUAUUAAAGUAUGAUGUUGUUUGCUGCAGGUACAGCUGUUGAACAAACUUCUAUUUGCAGCAGGGACUCUAUGAGUUACAGCCAAAGUAGAAUUUAAUUAACAUAAGUCUUGUUAAUUACCACCAGUGAUUCAUUUGUCUUCUCUUUGGAGAGAAACAUAGUUCGGAAAAUGGCACUUGCUCUUAAAUGAUUUCAAAUAGCUGUGCUUGCAAUAACAUUGGCUGGAAUUAGAAUUGUUAAGCAAUGGGCAUAUGUUGGCAGCAGUUUUACACAGAUUGCUUACACCAAAAUUAUUCUAGCCAGAGCAUUAGAAAUGGCCUUCCGUACAACCCAGGUAUCUCUGUAAUGAUGAGCUGUUCCCUAUCUGGGACAAACAGCUCUAUGCAAGAGAAGCCAGACCUGGUGUGACUUAGGGACCUAUCAGAGCAGUAAAACUGGGCUUCGUGACUGCAUCAUAGAUAUUACUGAGAUUUACGUGUUAAACAUUUCCUGUAGCUCCCAGAAGUGCAGUUGAAAAUGGCUUGCAAUUAUAGUGUGGCUAAGAAAUAUUGUCUGUAAGGUGAAUCAGCAGCGUAUGCAUUUACAGAAUGAGCACAGCCAUUACACUUAGUGAUUCAUAGCUGCAGGAGUUCAAACAUUUUCAUUACUUAAUCAGAUGAAGUUCAAGAUGAAGAUAAAGGCAGAUGUUUCACAUUCUAAAUUGAUCUGUUAUCACAACUAUUUAACAGGAUCAUGAAAAAAAAGCUUUAUAAAUAUUCUUCCAAGAAGAUGAAUGUUUUGCCUAGCAUUUCAUAUUCAACCCUAGUGCAAAUUUUUGUUAUCCAUAAAUGUAUUCAGUCUUAUCUACAACUGACACAGAAUGAACUCUCAUAUAUAAAUAAAGAACAAGGUACCUGAAAUUGCUGAAGAUUCUGCAGCAGCCCCGCUAACCACUGCUGAUCUUGAGCAUCAGGAGAUUCUUGUAGAUAAGCAAGAUACCAGUUCUGCUGUGUGAAUGAAUUUAUUCACAUAAACUGUGGUUUAUGAAACCAGACACCCAUACUAAACCCCUUUAACCAAGUAGUCAUCUAUCCUUGUCUUCUUGUGCAAAGUAAAAGGGGGUAGCAGAUCCCAAAAUUCAGCAAGGGAGAUGUAGGGUCAACACUGUCCCUUUGGAGCUUUCAAAAGAGCCAAAUUUUGUGCAAGUGAAGCUUUGUAGUGUAACCACUGGAUAACAAGGACUUGUAAUGGGAGAAUACAUAUGAUAUAGAGUGUUAAUUAGUAUUUUACAGAAAUAAGGGAAUGACUUCAUUUUGACAAACUAGGGGAAUAAAAGGUUAACAAUUUAAUGUCUAUACUGAAAAGCAAGGAGAGGAGGAAAAGGAGAAAGAAGGAAAGAGUAAAAUGGUGAGAAAGAAAAGGAGACAUCAAGACUAGGGAGGCAGACAUUUUCAUUUAAUUUGAUGCAAUUUAAGAUAAGAAAUGUUAUUUCCUAUUGAUUUACCCAUAAUCCAUCUCUAUGGCAUGAAUCAAUACCACUUAGAGCUCAAAUUUUCAAAAGGAUCUCUGAUAUAUAAUUUUACUUGGGAUUACUAUGAACCAGAUAAAUUGAGAGAAAAUGUACACAGGUUUUUGUGAGUUCUCAAGAAUAGCUUUGCUAGACCAUAUAUUGUCUAUAGGGCUCAUACAGAGGUGCCCAAGGACCUGAAUGAAGACACCAAAGGAGUAGAGCCAAGCAGAUAAGUAGAUAGAUUAGUGUGGAAGCUGCACAUUCAAAAACAGUUGGUAUGCUUUUUCCUAAUCUAAGAUGAUUUCUGAACCAUAUCAGGAUAAAGAAGAUUAACAAAGCCACUAGCUAACCUGCUGAUAUACUCCUACUUGGGAGUGAAAUCCCUCAUCAAAUCAUAACGUUUAGAAAAGCUCCUAGAAUUUAUCCUGCGCCUGCAGCAUUUGGAUGCUGAUUAAACAAGAUAAUCAGUACCCAGUAACACAGGGCAGUAUUUUCAAAAAUUAAAUGAUUUUAAUUCACAAGAGAAGAACUUGUGAUGCAAGCUGCAGAAAUGAGCUUUAGUGAAGACCAUGGAAUGGAUACAUGGGCUCCAGCCACAUCUGGAAUACUCUAUCAUCAUCAAAAGCUGAAAUGAUUUUCUACUUUACUAAUUAGAAAUUUAUUAAGUAUCAAAAAGGUAACAUAUAUCUGAAAAGGUAUUUCUUUUCCUAUUUAUGUUUAAGAAGCUACAAUCAUGCACUGGUGUGUAAGAAGCAUUUAAGAAACAAGUAUUUUUUAUAAGCGUGUAUGUCAAGGAUUUUUGAGGACAUGCAGAUUCUGGCUGUAUGCUCUUCAGAUCUGCAAUGGAGAGACAACUGGGGUAGAAUGAUUUGUCUUCACUCCUGCCAUCUGUAUGACAUUUAAGAAAUCACUCAUUCCUCCAUAUGCACAUGUGCAGUGGUGCAAGGGCCUCUGGUCAUACCUUUAUUUGCUUCUGAACUUCAGCGUGUAUCUGCAAGAGGAAGCCAAAGGCACUGCUAUUUCAGGAAGGUUCACCUGCUGUAGGAAAUAUUCAUAUUUUUGAAUAGUUUCAAAUUUUUUCAUACAAUUUUUAAUUGUGUUGUAGUCUUUUUUUCUUCUUUUCUUUCUUUUUCCUUUCUUUUUACUUAUUUUCAUUCAGGGAUGGAAGAAGAAAAGGCUUUAUUAUGAAUAAACGCAGAUUUCCUUCUGUUGCUGCAUGUCACAAGUUUUGCAUUGUUAAGAUUUUGCGUAGGCUCCCAGGAACUGCAGUCUAUUAUCCAACCUAUUCCUGUGUAAGUAUACUUACAACCUCUGGAUGACGUGGGCACACAGAAUUGCUGCAUCUUUAAUGUCAGUGCCUGCAAGUAGUGUAAAACAACCUUGGUUAUGGUUUCCUUCUGAAGGGUUUAAAUAGUUUCCUUAGAAUUUCAUGCAUGUAGUCCUGAGAUGAUUUUGCCAGAUGACUGAUUUCACAUUCUAAUGUUCAGUGCAAUGAGUUCAGCCUACAAUUUGUACUGUACAAUGCUUCUGUAAGAUCAGGAGCAGAGGCUAUAUUCUACUUGCUACAGAUACAAGUAUCACUGUAGGUACAGUAAAUAUAUACAAGCAAGAGUUUGUCUAGAAAUGAGAUUUCUUCUAUUUUGAGAUAGAUAUUCCUGACUCUCCUUCUGCUCUCUUUUGCUCGUGGGAAUAUAUCUGCUGAAUUGACACAAACUGAACUGAGACUAACUGGAACUGGUGGGAAAACAACAGGACACUGCAUUACACUUUAAUUUCAUUUAAAAUAAUAAUAAUAAUAAUAAAAAGCAUACAAGGGCUAACUUCUCACUUCUUAGAGAUUUUAUGUGGAAAUUUUUUCUUCCAACUACAUUUUAAAGUCUUCCUGGGCAGCACACACUGGUUAAUGCCUUGACUUAGUCAAUGAAAAAAACAGGAUGCAAAGUAGCACGGUGUGAUAUGUCCAUGCACUUGAGAUUAGUAUGCAUGAAAUUGUUCUUAUAAGUUGCCACAUCGUGACUUUGAAUGCUGAUUUUAAGGAAGUGAGUUAAGUAGUUACUUUAAGGACCCGUAUCUCUGCAUUUGCAUGUAUGGUCUUACUUAAGAUUUCAUUCACCUAUGUGAAUAACAGACUACCUAGGCCACAUCCCACUGGGUGAUAUUUUACAACAUAUAAUUAUAACAUUACAUAUAUAGAGAUAAUUUAAUUAAAAAUGUUCAGGAAAAAAUGUAAAGCCUGUACAGAGACCAAUAUAUUUAUGCUUUUCCUGAAAGCUGUGAGCAGCCUUUUAGUGAAAUUAUUGGCACAUGCACAAUAACUGAGCAAUAUUUUUGUAUGAUAUAAAUUUCAGUGAAAGUAAUUAUUUCCACAUGCACACAUAUGUUUUAUGUUCUCUUGUACACACAGUUUAUGUCAGUAUAUUAUUUUCUCUUAAGCACUUAAUAGCUAUUCUUUAAUAACUACAAUUCACUCAAUAAGUUAUACAUGUGACAGAAAAAAAAUUCAGAGUGUUUAUUAUGAGGUGAAGUUCAAACAAUUACAUUUUUAACAUUUGGCACUCUUACAUCCAGAAAUAAUUCCAGUCUUUUGUCUUCCACCCAGUGUGUCAGUGUCUUACUUCUGUACUGUACAGUACUGUACUGUGGAGGUUUAGUGGCUAUUGCAAUAUGGAGACCAUUCCCAGUACUGCCUAAGGCAAACUGCCAGCUAAAUGCUACAUAACAAACCUACACAAAAUGUAAUAAACUCAGCUGUGGACAUAAUGAUGGACAGUCUAAUAAUUCUGCUCAAUAUAGCCUGAUAUUUUCACUCAAACAGUAUUUGGGAAUGUUUCACUUGACAUUAGAAUUAGCAAUCAAUUCCAGAUAUUUGCUGAAGAGACACUGAAUGACUUUCUCAUACCAAAUUUUUAUUAACCACUACUGAUUGGAAGUAUGUGCAAGUUUACCCGCCAUUCUUCUCUGAAAGAGGAAAAUACUUAGUAUUCUCCUCUAGUAAUUGGAUGAGCCCUAAUUUAUUACUUAAGGAAAAGAAAAAAAGUCAGCCUACGUUAUAAUGCAUAAGACUAUAUUCCUCUCAAUUAUGCUGAUUUGAAUCCACUGUAAUUCCGUUACUCAUUGAAGUUUUUGAGAUUAAUGUUGAAUUGAUGGAAAUUCAAAUGCUUCUCAUAAUUUCUAUUGUCAUCUUGAAGCAAAAGGAAAGGUCUCAUAGCAAUUUUCUUUCUUCUCAGAUAGUUUUUAAAGAACUAAGGAAAUAAUAGACAAAGAUAAAUAGUGUAUGUCUAUGGGGAUUUUUAAUAUGUUUAGGCAAAAAUUUUUGAUCCCUUCACAAGUAUGUGGAAAUUAUUGCAUUUCUACCACUUCUGAAACUGAGAAGGCUAAAAGUGUGCUGCACCUAUCCAUGCAUUCUGUAGCAGACCUGAGCAGAGCCCUGUGCAAGCAUGAUCAUCAGGCUGGUCAUAUUCCCAGUAGGCACAGAGCACGUUUUCAGUUUGCUCUAGUGAUUCACAGAAUCACAGAACUUUAGGGGCUGGAAAAGACCUCUGGAGAUCAUCUAGUCCAAACUCAAUGAUAAAGCAGGUUCCCUACAGCAGGUCGCACAUGUAGGCCUUGAAUAUCUCCAGAGGAAACUUCAUAACCUCUCUGGGCAGCAUGUUCCAGUGCUCCAUCACUCUGAGAGUAAAGAAGUUUCUCCUUCUACUAGUACAGAACAUCCUGUAUUCCAGUUUCUGCCUUUUACCCCUUAUUCUAUUGCUAUAUGCCACAGACAAGUCUGCCCUCAUUGACUUGACUCCCACACUUUAUAUAAUAAUAAACUGUUAUGAGAUCCUCUCUCAGCCUUCUCCAGGCUGAAUUUCCCAGGUUACUCACCCUUUCCUUGUAAGGAAGACGCUUCAGGCCCUUAAUCCUCUUUGUCAUCCUCUGCUCUACUCCUUCUAGGAGAUCCCUGUCUAUCUUGAACUGGGAAGCUCAGAACUGUACACAGUAGUCUAAAUGUGGCCUCACCAGGGCAGAAUAGAGGGAAGGAUCACCUGCUGGCCACACUCUUUUUAAUGCACCUGUGUACACCAUUGGUCUUCUUGGCUGCAAGGGCACACUGCUGGCUCAUGGCCAACCUGCUGUCCACCAUGACACCCAUGUACUUCUCUGCAGAGCUCCCCUUCAGCAGGUCAGCCCCUACCUUGUACUGAUGCAUGCAAUUAUUCCUCCCCAGGUGUAAGACUCUAAACUUUUUGGAACCACAUCAGGUUCCUCUCUGCCCAACUCUAUAUUCCCAUAUGUAAAAGGCAUAUGCUUGUCCUUUUUCCAGGUGUAAUCAUAUAAUAUCACCACUACCGCUUCCUAUGUGUACCUAAAGUUGAUCGGACACCAAAGGCUGUUGUUUCAAGGCCUUUUUCCAAAUAUGCAUAAAUUAAUCAGAUGUUUGUCACACUUUUGUUAACCAAUUACCCAGAACAUGACCAAUUGUUUUUUCUAAAUCAAUUAUAAGCAGUAAAAGUAAGUGAGAUUGUGGCUGGUUUUCAAUUAUGAUAAAUAAAUCCUUAAGUAUGCCAGGAAAUUUAGUCCUGAUAAACUGAAAUGUACCGUUACACAGAAAAAAUGCUGUAUUGUCUUUAUUGUGAAGAGGUAAAUGACAUUCUACUGCCUGAGGAGAAGAACAGGGAAAUAUUUCCUAAGAAUAUUUUAAAUUUAAUUAUAUUUUAAUAAUGUACUUUAUCAAAUGUGAAUCUUUUUGAAAUAACUUUGUGCAUAUCAAACAUUCGCAAACUUGUGAUGCAUACCAGAAAAUAUGUGCACAUUUUAGAGGUUUCAAGAACCUCUGCAAAGUAGUAAGUAUAACUGGAGCAAAAUAUAAUGUCAUGUUUGAAGCUACAUGUUUUAAGUCUUUCUCAGUUAUACACUGCUAGGAAAAAAGAGCUUUUUAAACUGUCUUUUACCGUAUAGUUAAAUUACAGUAUAGCAAAAUGAAUGCUCAGACUGACUGCUUUCUUCAUGGCAAUAAUGUAUUAAUUUAUCAGGCAGCCACAUGAAUUUUAACUUCUAUUGUUUUGUUCACAUCUUUCUGGGGUGAGCUCAUUAGGAGUUGAGGUUAGAAGUGCAAUCAUGUCAGAUUGCUAUGAAAAAUCUGGUCUCAACUUUCUGAAGUUGGGAAAACUUGAA